CAAGCCCUUCAGGUGACUCUGAUGUCACAGAGAGCUUGACAUCACUGUUUUGAAAGAAGACCUGGCUCAGUGGAAUAGUGAGACAAGUCUCACAAGACUACAAAAUAAGUAUGGGGGAGUCUGGCCCAAAAAAGACAAACCCAGUCAGCACUGACUGUCUUCUGCUCAAUGUGGGGGUGAAAGAGCGAGAAUGUGGUGAUGGAGAUCAGUGACGUUUCAGCUCUAAGAGGAACAUGGGAAAUCGGAACAGCUGCUGCUCCAAGGGGCAAGCAUCGGUGACUGUACGCUGUCACUUCGCAAAGAUCAGAGAACCUUGUGGAUCCACCUACCUUUUAAUUUACCACUGGCUAUGACAUACCAGCUCUUCUGUGGGACUUGGAGUCCUGUCCUCUCUCCCUUCAUACAUUCGCCCGGUAAGUGUCCUUGCCGUUCACACCAGCUCCUUCUCCUCCUCUAUGAAAAUAUGUUACCACCGAAUCUCAAAGAGGCCACUUCCACCCGUUGCUACAUCUUACUCUUUCCUUAAUGAUGACACUUCUGAAUUGAAUGUUGACAGGUGGAAUUGGGAAUGGCAUCUGCCACUUUUAUCUCAGAUCACUAACCAAACUUUCAUCUUUCAUCUCGGGUCCUUAAGAUUACCCUCAUCAGGUACAUCAGCUCCCUCACUGUGCCAAAUCUAAUCAUCAGGCAGUUA